UCCGAAUGACAAGCGGCGCACUUCAAUCGCGUUUUUGAUUCGACGCGAUUGUUUUCGGAAAAUGCGAGUUUUAAACGAGACACACAUCGAUCGAAAAUCCAUUAAUCAUCGAGGACGCUACUAAAUUACCACGUGCGCGUCUAGUCACAGCUUAAUGGUUUCGCUGUUUCGCUGGUUUUAUUCUCGACCGGAUGACGUAAAACCACCGUUGAUGUCAGGAAGGAAGCAUCGGCAGGCAGACGAGGCAAAAACCACUUCCAGCUUCCAGGUGGAUGUGGAUGUAGCAUGCUAGAAUGUGAAAUUAUUCCUACCUGUGGAAGACGUUCGUUCGUUUACGUUUCACCCACACAAUAUUCCGCAUUGCACGCCACUUGAGAUGUGUAGCGAGUGCACGAAAACGUACCGCAAACAGUGUAUUAAACAUUUAUUUAUUUGAA